rnacentral:rRNA from 1 species
UACAGAGGUCCCAAGCGUUGUUCGGAUUCAUUGGGCGUAAAGGGUGCGUAGGCGGCGCGGUAAGUCGGGUGUGAAAUCUCGGGGCUUAACUCCGAAACUGCAUUCGAUACUGCCGUGCUUGAGGACUGGAGAGGAGACUGGAAUUUACGGUGUAGUGGUGGAAUGCGUAGAGAUCCGGAGGAACACCAGUGGCGAAGGCGGCUGCCUGGGCCUGGCCUGACGCUGAGGCGCGAAAGCGUGGGGAGCAAUCGG